rnacentral:rRNA from 1 species
UACGAAGGGGGCUAGCGUUGCUCGGAAUCACUGGGCGUAAAGCGCACGUAGGCGGGUCGUUAAGUCAGGGGUGAAAUCCUGGAGCUCAACUCCAGAACUGCCCUUGAUACUGGCGAUCUCGAGUUCGGGAGAGGUGAGUGGAACUGCGAGUGUAGAGGUGAAAUUCGUAGAUAUUCGCAAGAACACCAGUGGCGAAGGCGGCUCACUGGCCCGAUACUGACGCUGAGGUGCGAAAGCGUGGGAGCAACAGG